rnacentral:rRNA from 1 species
GAUGAACGCUGGCGGCGUGCCUAAUACAUGCAAGUCGAGCGAACGGACGCGACGCUUGCUUCGCUUAUCUUACCGGCGGGCGGGAGGUUAACACGUGGCUCACCUCCUUAUAAUACUGGUAUAACUUUGGGACACCUGACCUAAUACCGCAUGAUAUUCUUAACCGCAUGGUUCAAGAGUUUAAGACGUUGUUGCGGUCCCUUGUCGAUGGACCUGGGCUGCAUUAGCUAGUUGGUAAGGUAACGGCUUACUAAGGCAACGAUGGAUAGCCGACCGGAGAGGGGGAACGGCCACACUGGAAGUGAGACACGGCACAGACUCCGACGGGAGGCACAGGUAGGGAAGGUUCGGAAAUGGGCGGAAGCCUGACGGAGCAACGCAGGGUGGGUGAAGAAGGUCUUCGGGUGGUAAAACUGUGUUAUGAGGGAAGAACAUAUGUGUAAGUGACUGAGCAUAACUUGACGGAACCGAAGCAGAAAGCCCCGGCUAACUACGUG